CUGAGGGGCGCCGGGCGCGAGUCCUCCCCCCGCCCGUGGCGCGCGGGGCGGCCGUUGGGUGGCGGCCGUUGGGGCCCCUCAGAGCGGCGGCGGCGGCCGCCCCGCUCCUCCUCCUCCUCCUCCCCCCCCUCCGCGUCCCUCCCCACGGGCUCCCCGGGAUAACGUUGGCCGGGAGGAACCGGCCGGGCCUGCUUUUCCUCCCCCGGAGCCCCUCCUCGGGCGGGAGCGCGGGCCGCGGCCCAACGCCGCCUCAGCCGGCUCGGCUCGGCGCUGCGCCCCGGGCCCUGCCGCCCCCUCAGCGGGGGGCGGCCUGGGAGGAGCGGCGGAGGCUGGAUGCGGCCGCCGGCUGGAGGAGGGACAGGCUGCCGGACCCGCGGAGGAUGUCUCCCAAGAGCAGCGCAGAAGGAGCCUUAAUGACAAUAUGCCAUAUGACAAGGAGGCUGCACAGUUCCCACCCUGCCUGCUGUUUUUAAUCCUUCACUCAGCAAAGUGGCAGCGGUUGUGUUGUUGACAUGGUCUUGCCUUUCAGUUGUCCCAUUACAUGGUUCUUCUGCAUCAAGAACUUUGUACGCGAAGCCAGCUAUGGGGGUAUAUGGAUAACAAAAACCUACUGACUUUCCCUUUGCUGUAGCCCCAAACACCCUUUAAUCAUCAGCAAUUGCUAGUGUCAAGAUGCCUGCCCAGAUAAACUGUUUCUAGAGAGUAACCAAUUGGGAAGCAAUCUCCCUCACAGAUGCCAAACAACCACAUGUGCUUAUAUUGUGGGAAACGCUGGUUUGCUCACUGUGACGGCCAUUCCGCAGUCCAGCUCCAGUUUGCGUGCUAGUAUCAGAUAGGAUCUGUGUUGUGUACUCCACUCCAGAGAUGGCACCUCAGCGCUCUCACAUUCACUAUAGUUCACAUGCAUCGUACGCACAGAUUGUUAGGCAAGUGCUUAGCCUGCACACCGUCCCAUAUAGCAAAACAAAAGAGGAAAUGUAAUUUCAAACCUAUCACCUUUGCAGACUCUUUUAAAAUGCAGGCAAUUAAAGGCACAUCUAGUAACUGUAGGUGGCCAGAUACUACAGUGAGCAACAUUUACAAAUACAGGUCUUGCCUUACUAGACUUUUGGAAAAAAAAUUCUGAUGAUGCAGAAAAAUCCAUUGGUGUCGAAAACAAAGACAGCCUGCAAGAAAGAAAAGCUCACGGUGUUCAUGCCAAGCAAUACAGAACUUGUAUGCUUAUGUUUAUAAUUUCAAAGGAAAAUAUGAGUCUGCUGUUCCUCCACUCUGUCUACUAUCAGAUUAUAGCAACAGAAUAGACACUCAAUAUGGAAGAAGAAUGCAACAUGCGUGUGUGUACUCCCAAGCAGAACCAAAGCUGUUAGAGCUAGCAUCUCUUUAAAUAAUAAUCUGCGUGGUAAUACAGUCCUGGGCUUCUCAGAUGUUGGAUAGUGAUUUGAAUCCAGCGAGCCUGGAUUCAGCAAAAGCCACUAGCCUUGAAAGUUGUUUGACAAAAACAAAUCUAUUUCGAACCUUGUACAAAAUAGAUCGUUUUCAACCAAUUUCUGAUAAAUAAAUUUGCAAAUCACAGAAGUUACUGGCUCAGCUGCUACUUUUUAAGGCACUCAGGCACUGAAGUGAUAUCACUCAAGUGAUAGCCCCUGUCAGGUCAGAAGUAAUGUUGCUGAGGAUGAGGUUUGCAUCGCCAUGCCAAUGUGUCUUUUUGCUGCAUUAGUAAGGAGUAUCGGGCUGUGUAAAUACUAGUCUUAAUCACAAAAUAAAUUUAGUAAAAGUAAACUACGUUAUCAUAAUAUAUGGGCUGUAGGAGACAGAGCUGAAGCUUGAUGUAAAAUGAUGAAUCAGAACAACCUUAAAAGGUAUUUGGAUCACAGGAUUGUGAGGGAUGUCUAAUGAAACAUCGCGUGGAAAGUACUGGUAUCUUUCAAAACAGUGCAGGACUUACAGUAUGGUUCCAAUUUUGUGUAGGUAUAAACUGGUUUUUUAAAACGUAUGGAUUAACAACAAAAGUAUGAAAACAAUGUGUUUAGACUAAAAUUCCGCACUGACAGUCAUACAGCUGUGUGAGAAGAGGGGAUUGCUGGCCAAUGCUGAGACAUUCGACCUGGUGAUGCAAGAGCCUAGUUGUAUUUCCCCUAAUGAGAGUAACUGUGAAAAUUUAACCUCAGAUUUUUGUCAAGGAUAACACGAAGAAUCAAACCUGUUUUGCUCUGUUUACCUUGCGGGAUAGGUAGAGAUACCUGUUUAAAUCAAAGACGAAUACUUUAGGUGAUAGGCACUCAGAAAGACGCAGGAUUCCAGUCAGCUAGUUAUCAGUAACAGACAUCUCACCUGGUCAGGAUUUAGGAAUCUGCAAAAACUUGGACACGUCAGGUUUUGGUAACAUGAGGUAUUUAUUUUGUUAAUGGAGCAACACUCAUAGACACUGCAGUCAGAAAAUCUGAAAAUAAACGUGUUCAUUCUACAUUUGGCCAGGAUGGGCUGUGGAAGCCUAGCAUGAAAUACAGAAAGAGCAGUUCAAGACUGUCAGGAUGAAGAGAGCUGUAUUACAAAAAUAAAAUCAUGAUUUUUGGAUAGCCUUCCAGCUGCUUUCUUUGUCAUUUCCUCUGCAGAAAUUUCUUACUAGUUCUUGGAAUCACUUGGGAACUGCAAAUCUUAAAUAUCAAAAGAGAUUUAAGAACAAAGGCGUAUGUAUAGGUAGAAGGUCAUUCAUGUGAUAGGACAUUAUCUUUGUAGAUCCUUCUUCACUUCAGUCUCUGGAAUUCAUCUCUCUAAAAUCUGUGGUCCAAAUGCAUUUUUGAAAACUGUUUGCAAUUAGAUGAGUGCUUCUUUGUUACUGUUACCAAAAUAAAUAUUCCAUGUUACAUAUUAAGAGAAUGUUACCCUUCAGACAGGGACACAAUUUUUUCACUUUAAAUGAUGUGAAUUUGGCUUUGCCUUUUUCCAGAAUUGUUUUACCUGAAAACACAUUCUUUUGAUUAUAGAUUAAUUGAGCUGUCUAUUAGUUAGACAUGUCAUGGGUUGUAUUAAGUGUUUUAAAUGUAAGCAUAAUUAAUUUGAUAAGGCAGAAUUAAACAAUCUGUGAGGGAAGGUGUUUUGCAAAAAUUUGUGCUCAUGAAGCACUGAUAUUAAAAAGGAGGAAGUAUUCAUCAGCAUUGCAAGCCCCGGGGAACCUUCAGCCCAAAAGGCGUGAUGUGGAACCGAGCAUGGGGCAGGACUGGAGAGCACUGGGAGAGACUCCAGAGAGUGCCAGCUCAAUGUGCAGAGCACAGGCGGGAGGAAACAGGAAACUCUUCCCACAGUGAAGCACUUGGUGUAUUCCAGGGUUCCUUCUUGGUCUCUGCCAACCAGAUUCUUCUUUAGCCUUGUGCACGCAGACAGCGAGGAAGGAGGACAUAAGAGCUGUCUGUACCUGUGACAUGCCUUAGGCAGCUGCUGUAGGAUGCAAAUGGAUUCCUUAAUGAGCCGUGUAGUAGGGACCACAACUGCAUCUUGCCACGGGUGUAGUAAUGGGAGUGUUUUGCCUGAUUUUACAAGUGCUUUAGGAGACAUUUUGCAGUCAAGAACCAAAUUUCCUGUUGCUUUUUCUUUUUUUUUUUUCCUUUCUAUGCCGUGUUGAGCUUCGUGUUUCUGUUUUUUCUUGUUGUUGUUUUGUUUUUUUGAGAGCUAGGAAUAUGUUUUCCCCUAUAUGCAGGCAAAUAAAAUCUAGAAAGUCUUCAUUUGCUCUGACAAGAUUAAGUGUUUAGGGUUAGAGUCUAGUGCUGAUUUUUAAAAUGACAUUCAGAAUUAACUGCCACUCUGCAGUGCCAAAUGAUCUGCAAGGAAGCUUUAAUUAUCAGCUUCUCUCUGAGAAUAUUUAUAAUACGUUAACAUAUAUCUGCUUCUCUACCUUUUAUUGUAGGAGGCGUUUGUUAGUUACAAGUUUGUUACAAGUUUGGGUAAUCCUUAGAUCCAAAACCAUAUCCUAUUAGCUUUUCUCCUAUUGAUGCUGAGGCUUCAACUCUUCAAGACUUUUUAACAAAUUAUUCAGUUCUUGACCACUGCCCUUUUCAGCUACAGAAACCGAAUGCUAAAAUAGAAAAUGGUUUUUAGCCUGCUGUUAAACAAGGAGAACUCUUUAUAGUACAGAGAAAUGUCUGUCUUGAUAUAACUUUGUCCUCAAGAGGUGUGGAUUCAGGCAGCUUUGUUGCUGGCAGCUAUGGUGGGUAGUGUUGGGAUUUGCAAAGAGGGACAUUUACAGAACUGAAAAUGUUAUGUUCCAAGGUUGUUAGAAUGAAAGAGAUCUAAAUCCUAUACAAAACAAAUGAACCAAAUAAUUAUAAUUAACCAUGAAUGCAUCACCAGUAAAUAAGAAGAAAUGCAGCAAAAUACUCUCAUUUACCUCUUUUUUUCCAUACUCUCACACAAACAAUAUAAUACAGGUCCUACUAAAUCAAAAAGAAAAAGAUAUGCUUUUAUUUCAGUCACAGCAGCCACCUAAUAAAUCUAAAAAUAUGUAAUGAAAUUAAAAGCAUAGAAAUUAAGCUUUUCUCCCUCAGUCUUGAAGAUACUUGAAUAUGCACGGGAACUUGAACAAGUUUAAAAAAAAAUCACGUGCAACUAAAAGAAACUCCCGACAAACAAUCUGUAACCUCCUUUGCUUCCAGUGAGAAAUGGCCUGUGUCUGCAAAUCUCUGGAUUUGGCAGCUAUACCUAAUUCAGUUCAAACUCCCACUGACAUCAGCAAAACAUUACCUGAUUAGGAAUGCAGGAUUGGAUCUAAGAUAGUAGCAUAUUAAAAUGCCAUUAUAAAUUCAAAAGCUACUACCCAAAAUAUAAAAUGUUCAAAGCAAUUGAACAGCUCUCAGCGUACACGUUCAAAAUGCUAAACAAUAGUAGCUAUUGCACGUGUGACCAUCAGGAAACGCAGCUGUGCUUCUUUGUGUUACAAUUAAUUGCUUCCGUUGUAUAUAAAAUUGAAAGUAUUGGUACUCUGGGGCGGAAAAAGGAUAUCCUGAUACACUGCUCCUGUUUCCUUAGGAAGACCUAUUACUGAACCUUUCACCAUUAAUCCAGUUACAAUGAAUUAUCCUGUGAUGAAUAAAGGAAGGGUAAAUUGGGUGGUUAAUUGUAAUGUUAACGGCACUUUCUCUCUACGUUUUCACACUCUUACAUUUAUAUCUAACUUUACUCUUUUCACAUGUGCCCUCUUUGAUAGCAAUGGUUCACUUUUAAGUAGUGGAACUUAAUAAUGAAAAGUCCAAACCAAACAUUUGGCUUGAAGAUUGUUCCUUUUUCUUUUAAUGUUACUAGAUCAGAAGAAACCAGAAGACUUUGUCACCGUUCGUUAGCAGGAUGAGUAAAAAUCUUCUCAGCUUAAGUUUUUGUGGCCAAAUUCUCUGAAGCUGGCACACAGAGAUGUAAUUUAUAUCCUUCUGUGCCAAUAAAGUUCCCGAAGCUGGAGGGGGAUGGGAUGAGAAGUCUUACCCAGAGUUAGGAAGCAGUAGUAACAGCCCAGCAUUUCUGUUAUGCGCUUUUUUUUUUUUUUUGGUGAGAACUAUGUGAGAGUAAAGACUGUUUGAGGUUGUACAAAAUAGUGCAGAUCUGGUCCCUAGUGAUAUAUGCUGCCCCCAAACUUUAAUAUCUACUUUUUAAUAACACUGAACUUUUCUUUGUAGGGAGCUUCCAAACAGAGAGCAGCUUCUGUGAUGGCUUAGAAAAUCAGUGAAGUCUCCAACAGCCACAUAAGUCUAUAAAAGGGGGAUAAUGUGUUUUGUAUUUGCUACUAAGAAUUUAAUCUGUCAGGAUGUUCCCCCUAACCAUACGCAUGCAUAGGUGUAAGUAACACCAGCCUGUUUAAAAUCCAUAAGAUGUGUAACAUCACCAAAUAAGUGACGUGGGGGAAUAGUGGAGUCCUUCAACAUGAGCACAAAUAAAUUCUGCCAAAUGAACCGAAAUCUUUGCAAAUUUGAAUUCAGUCUAGUCAGGGUCAUAGAAAAGUAAUCGCAGAAUGCCAACUCAGAAGAGCUGCCAUUGCAGAAACUGGUCUACAUAAUACAGAUGGCAGAAAAUCAUCAUCCACAUAAAAUACAGUUGUAUUCUCCUUCUUUUGCUGCAGCAGCUGGCACUGGAAAUACUGUCUCAAAAGCUAACUGUGCUCUGUCAUUAUUCCAUAACUAGAGUUUAGAUUCAGGUAUGCUAUAUUUGAUGUGAUAGCUAGAACCUGAACCCCUCUGGCUAGGACUACCACAUUUCUUGCAAUGAUUUUUUGGCCACAAGUAUGUGCAGUGUAGCAUAGAUGCUGUGUAAUGUACAUCCAGUAAAGCAGAAACUUUCGGUAAGUGUCAUAUAUAUUGUGUAUCCACAAUAAAUCUCAGUAAAUCUGGUAUUUCCAGGAUGCAUUAGGCUGAGUACAUUUCCACUAGCUUCACAGCACAUUACUUUGCUUCCUACCCCAAAUUAUUACACAGCUUGCAAGCAUGUGUAACAGUAACUCAGUUCAGGUUUCCACAUGUGCAGAAAACAUAGACAAAUUUAUUACGUCCUCAGAAUCAGCACGGGAUAGAAUUUCCCGGAAGAAAAAGAAAAAUGGUCAUGGAAGAUGCAGGCCUACCACUGGCAUUAGGUACUGCAGAGCAACAUCUGGUUGUGAAAUGUAUUUGUUUUUUGUUUAUAAUGCAUAAAUAAAGUUCUUACUUGUCAUCUGAA